CCAUCCCUGGCCCUAGGUGUAGCCGUGGCUGAGCCACGGAGCAGGCAGCCCCAGUCGACCAGCACUCCCGCUUACGCCCCUCCCGCCUGUCCCUUGUCUGGCCCGCCCUGAGGCCCCACAGCUGCCACUCUUCACUCUUUCCUGAGGGCAAGGGUCAGCUGGCUCCCUUGGGCGGCGUCACCCGUCUCCAGAUAUGCAGGAGUGAAUUUCAAGAAAACGCUGACAGCAGCAGAUAUGCAGGGGAGGGGCUCACGGUCUCCCAGAAUUCACAGGAACCAGAGGAACACAAGUCGGGGUGCAGCAGCUCUCUGCUGUGGCCUGGGAAAGCAGUAGAAGAUGCCCAAGUCCUUGGGCCCUGCACCUGCGUGGGAGACCCAGAGGAAGCUCCUGGCUCCUGGCUUUGGAUCAGCCCAGCUCUGGCAGUUGCAGCCAUUUGGAGAGUGAACCAGCGGAUGGAAGACCUCUCUCUCUGUCUCUGUCUCUCCAAUAAAUAAAUAAAAUCUUUAAAAAAAAAAAAAAAAGAAAACACGUUAAGAAUAUUACCGCCUCUCUGGUUUUCCUGUACAUUCC